rnacentral:lncRNA from 1 species
UUAAUUAAACAAAUUUAUUUAUGAUAACUAAAAUCUUUUACCAUCCACUUAUCGCAGUGACAUUUAUAAAAACAACCUAUAGAGACAAUAACAUAACACUUAUCAUGAUUUCAUAUGCAAUUGGUAACAGGCACAUAUUAUAAAUCUAUAUUUAAUAAAUCAAAUAACAACAUUUUUUUUUACCGGCCUACUGGUAUCCAUGGAGGUUCAUAGGUAUGUUUCCGCUAUGCAUGAACCAUUUUCUUCAAUAUUUCUAAUUAAAGUGUCGUUCCCAUACUCCGUCCGGUAUGAGCACCAAACAAAUAAAUUUCAAUAUCCCAUCCGGUAUGAGGGUGAAACGGGCCAUCCCCAUACCCCAUCUGGUAUGAGUGCUAAAUUACUAAGUCUCGAUACUCCGUCCGGUAUGAGACAACGUUCACGGCAGGGUUCCCUAUUGUACUCAGUCUGUCCCCCAUCUCCUACAAUAUCCAGUAAAAUUGUCAUUUCAUCAAUUCACUUAAUCACACAAUUUUUCUAUUUUUCUUUAGUCUCUAUUUUUCCAAAUUAACCGUAAUCACAUAUACAAACAAAUAUGCAUCAGAGAAUGCAAUCAUAUUUCGGUUUUCCAAUUUAACAGUAGUCACGUAAGACAACAAUACAAGCAUUUAAACCAUAAAAUUGAUAAAUAAGAUACUAUUAUUUACUUACACUGUAACAUAAAUCAACAGACAAUAAUUUUCAAUUCUGACUUAUUAGUAACAUGUAAUUAAUUAUAUAAAUAUUUUUUAAGUUUUACAAAAUACCAUAUUAUUUAAAAUUAAACUUCAAUUCUAUAACAGGAUAGGGUGAUGAAUUCUUACUCAAUUUGGUAAACGAAAAACUAAGCUGUUCACUGUGCCUACAGGCAGUUUCCGAGUUCCCUGAAUUUUUAUUCGGAAAUCAAAACGCGCUAUAAGUACCUAUAAAUGUUCCAAACAAACCCAAAAUUAGUCCCAAUGCCCAUUUUAGCCAAUUUCGAAAUUCCGGUAUGGUGGCUCCACUGUGCUCCGGCGAUGGGGCUGCCGCCCGCAGCGUCGGUUCGCUUCGAAUCGAUUGUUUUCGGUCGAUUUCGCAUCAAUCCAUGCAAAAAAAUAUGUUAAGGGGCCUUGGUUGGUCGAAAAAAUACAAAAAACCAAAACUCACUAGCGACGGGGCUCUCUGGUGCGGCGGCUCCUACGACUCGCGUUGCAAUUGGGUGUUUUGUCUGGUCAACCUGUAGAGAAGGAAAUGGUGAUCACAACGGUGGAAAAAUCAUGCAGAACGGGAAUCAGAAAAGGCCUCAUCGGAGGCGUUUUGUGGAAUUCCCCGCGACAGCACCGUCGGGUUUUGCCCACGUUUUUCGACCAAUCAGCUGGUUCUUUUGCUCUGAUUUGGCCAUAAGUGUGUUUAAAAUUGAAUUCGGAGCAAAAAGAGAGAUUUUUACUUUUUUUGGCGAUCGGAAAGGGCUCCGGUGCGGCGGCGGUCUCCUUCCCGGCGGCCGGGUCUUCUUCUUUGGCGAGGGGGUCUGGCGGCUACGGUUAAGGUUUGGUGUGGAUGACGGUUAUUUAUAUCUGUUCGCUUUUGAUCUGGACCGUCUAUCGCAUUUGAUCUGAACCGUCCGAUCGCGAUUAAAUAGGGAGUGAAUCUGGACCAUUCAUCGCGGUCCAAUCUAGGACGUCCAUCGCGAUAUAAUCUACACCAUUCGAUCGCAUUCAAAUCUGACCAUCCGAUCGCGUUUGGGGAGAGAACGCAUCUGGGCUGUCCGUGCAUGCAGAAACGGAUCUGGGCCGUUUGAUCGCGGGCGCGCAAUCGCCUGUGUGACCUCCCGCAUGGCACCGUGUCAGUGUCUGUUGCCACGCGGCGUGCCCUGAUUCAUCAGGCCUGUCGACCAGGCGUCUGACGUGGCGAAACUUCUCUAAAUUGUAUUUGACUCUUAAUUUUUAAUUUUUCUUUCAAAAAUACCCAUAUAACCCAAAUUUUUACCUUUUUUUCAAAAAUUAUUUUCAAUUUAAUUCUCCAUCAAUUCUAUUUCAUUUUUAUUCUAAAUUAAAAUUAAAAAAAUUAGGAAAUUAUAUUUAUAAUAAAAUCCUAAAUUACAAAAAAUUAAUUUAGGGUGUUACUACUCUCUCUCCCUUAAAAGAAAUUUGGUCUCUCAAAUUUGUCUCUCUCACUCUCAAUCAAACAGCUGAGGAUAUUUGGCUUUGAAAUCUGAUUCUAGCUCCCAUGUGGCCUCUCUCGGUGUGUGAUUCUGUUAUAGGACCUUAACAAAGAUAAUUUUUCAGUUCCAGAGUAAUCUGCUCUUUCAGUCCACAAUGCCGACAGGUAAUUCUUCGUAGGAUAGAUCCUCCUGGAGUGAAAGAGGCUCGUGAGUCAAGACGUGAGAGAGGUCUGGGUUGUACUUGUGCAGCAUGGACACAUGAAAUACAUUAUGGACCCUGGAAAGUUCUACAGGCAGUGUCAGUUUGUAGACAGCAGUACCAAUUCUAUCUACGAUUUUGAAUGAUCCAAUAAAUUGGGGAUUCAGUUUCCUCCUCUUGACGAACCUACUGAUUCCCUCUUUUUACAAAUUCUAAGUCUCUCCUUCAGGUGUCCAUGUAACUCUUCUGCCUGCUCUGAGUCGUUUGAAUGUUCUUCCUGAUCUUAACUAUUUUGGAUGUAGUCUCCUCUAUCACAUCUGGUUCGAACAGUUUUCUAUCACUCAUUUUCUCCUAACAAAUCGGUGAUUUGUAUGGGCACUCAUAUAACGGCUCAUACGGAGCCAUGCCAAUACUUGCUUGGUAACUGUUGUUGUAAGUGAACUCUAUCAGGGGUAGAUGGUCAUCUCAAUGGCCUCCGAAUUCAAGAACACAAGCUCGGAACAUAUCUUCAAGUGUGCGGAUUGUUCUUUCUGACUGCCCAUCGGUCUGAGGGUGGAAUGUAGUACUAAGGGACAAUUUCAUUCCCAUAGUUUGUUGAAGGUUAGAUCAAAACCGAAAAGUGAACCUGGGGUCCUUGUCGGAUGGACACUAUUGCCACUAGCACCCUAUGUAAUCUGACUACUUCCCGGAUAUAUAUUCUUGCCAACUUGUCCAAGGAAUUGGUCAUCCUGAUAGCCAAGAAGUGAGAAAACUUAGUAAGUCGGUCAACAAUUACCCAGAUGACAUCAUGUCAUGAGUGUGCCUUAGGUAAUCCUGUCACGAAAUCUAUGGUGAUUUGUUCCCACUUCCACUCCAAGAUUAGUAAUGGCUGAAGUAGCCCACCUAGGCGUCGAUACUCUGCCUUGAUUUGUUGACACACUAAACAUUUAGAAACAAAGACAGCUAUAUCUCUUUUCAUCAUGUUCCACCAAAAUCGAGAUCGCAUACUCUGAUACAUCUUAGUACUUCUGGGAUGCAUGACAAACUUUGAGCUAUGGGUCUCUGUCAUAAUGUCCAUUUUUAACUCACUGUCACUUGGAACACACUCCGUCUUGGAAUCUGAGUAACCCAUCGGUGAAGACUCGAAAUUCUAUGUUAACUCUCUGUUUUGCAUCUUUCUUGAAGGUCGCUAGGGUGGAGUUGGUAGACUGAGCUUCUUUUAUUCUCUGAAUUAACUCAGACUGAACAGUCAGGUGGCUCAAACAUGUAACUCUCUUAAGGUCUUGAAGUCGUACCUGCUGUGCGACCCCUAUCUGCCUACAUUCUAAAACCAUCAAAUAGGCUAAUGUGCUUGCACUUUUCCUAUUGAACGCGUCGGCUACCACGUUACCUUUACCCGGGUGAUAUAGGAUAUCACAAUCAUAGUCCUUAAAAAGCUUUAUUCGCCUUCUCUGACGUAUGUUGAGAUCAUUUUGAGUAAAUAUGUGUUUCAAACUCUUGUGAUCGAUAUAGAUCUGAAAGAUCUCCCCAAACAAAUAAUAGCGCUAAGUCUUCAAGGCGUGAAUAAUUACGGCAAGCUCUAAGUCAUGGGUGGGAUAAUUUUUCUCAUGACUCUUCAACUGUCUGGACCUAGAGGUUAUGACCUUCCCACGCUGCAUUAAAACACAACCCAAACCUAGAUAGAAGGCAUCACUGCAAACUGUAUAUCUACCUGAUCCACUCGACAAGGCCAACAAAAGUGUAGUAGUCAGUCGCUUCUUUAGUUCUGAAAAACUUCUUUCAUAGUUCUCGUUCCACUCAAACUUGACAUUCUUCUUUGUGAGCCGAGUCAGAGGAGCAGCUAGACUAGAAAACCCUUUUACGAACCUGCCAUCCCCAGAGAAUAAUUUCCGGUUCUGACUCCAUUAAUACGUAAUUAAUUAUAGAUAUUUUAUAAGUUUCACAAAAUACUGUAUUAUUUAAAAUUAAACUUCAAUUCCAUAACAGAGUAUUGGGUGAAAAAUUCUUACUCAAUUUGGUGCCUAAAAAGCUAAGCUGCUCAGUGCGCUUACAGGCGGUUUAUAGGUUCUCUGAAAUUUUCUUCGGAAAUCAAAACGCGCUAUAAGUACCUACAAAUGUCCCAAACAAACCCAAAAUCAGUAUCAGGGCCCAUUUCGGCCAAUUUCAGAGUUCCGACACGGCAACUCCGCCGUGCUCCGGCGACGGCGCCGCCAUCCGCGAUGGCGGUCCGCCUCGGGUCGGUUAUUUUCAGCCGAUUUCGCAUCAAUCCCUACGAGAAAACAUGUUAAGGGGCAUCAUUUGAUCCAAAAAACAUAAAAAAUUGAAACUCACCGACGGUAGAGUUCUCCGGUACGGCGGCUCCUCCAGCUCGAGUUGCGGUUGAGUGUUUUGUUUCAGUCAACCUGUAAAAAAGGAAACGGUGAUCACAAUGGUAGAAAAAUCACGCAGAA